rnacentral:rRNA from 1 species
CAGUGAGGAAUAUUGGUCAAUGGGCGCAAGCCUGAACCAGCCAUGCCGCGUGCAGGAAGACGGUCCUAUGGAUUGUAAACUGCUUUUAUUUGGGAAUAAACCUCUUUACGUGUAGAGAGCUGAAGGUACCAAAUGAAUAAGCACCGGCUAACUACGUGCCAGCAGCCGCGGUAAU